UACGGGGGGGGCAAGCGUUGUUCGGAAUUACUGGGCGUAAAGGGCUCGUAGGCGGCCAACUAAGUCGGAUGUGAAAUCCCCAGGCUCAACCUGGGAACUGCAUCCGAUACUGGAUGGCUUGAAUUCGGGAGAGGGAUGCAGAAUUCCAGGUGUAGCGGUGAAAUGCGUAGAUAUCUGGAGGAAUACCGGUGGCGAAGGCGGCAUCCUGGACCGACAUUGACGCUGAGGAGCGAAAGUGUGGGGGAGCGAACAGG
rnacentral:rRNA from 1 species